rnacentral:rRNA from 1 species
ACCCCAUGGAGCUUUAAACCCAUUUUACACUCCUGAUUUAUACUCCCUAAUAGACCCAGGACUCUGUAUAUCUGGUUUUAGGUUGGGGUGACCGCGGAGCAUAACUAAGCCUCCACGAUGAAUGGAGAAACCCCCUUAUCCAAGAACUACAUUUCUAAGAAUUAGUAUUCUAACAUUAAAUGAUCCGAUAUUCGAUCAACGAACCAAGUUACCCUGGGGAUAACAGCGCAAUCCACUUCAAGAGCCCCUAUCGACAAGUGGGUUUACGACCUCGAUGUUGGAUCAGGGUAUCCCAGUGGUGCAGCAGUUACUAAAGGUUCGUUUGUUCAACGAUUAAAACCCU